GACCGAUAGUGAACCAGUACCGUGAGGGAAAGGCGAAAAGAACCCCGGGAGGGGAGUGAAAUAGAACCUGAAACCGCAUGCAUACAAACAGUAGGAGCCUCGUCAGAGGUGACUGCGUACCUUUUGCAUAAUGGGUCAGCGACUUACAUUCUGUGGCGAGCUUAACCGAAUAGGGGAGGCGCAGCGAAAGCGAGUUCGAAAUGAGCGUCCAGUCGCAGGGUGUAGACCCGAAACCAGAUGAGCUAUCCAUGGCCAGGUUGAAGGUGUGGUAACACACACUGGAGGACCGAACCGACUAGUGUUGCAAAAUUAGCGGAUGAGCUGUGGAUAGGGGUGAAAGGCCAAACAAAUCUGGAGAUAGCUGGUUCUCCCCGAAAACUAUUGAGGUAGUGCCUCGUGUGUCGCUCCAGGGGGUAGAGCACUGUUUUGGCUAGGGGGACAUGGAGUCUUACCAAACCAAGGCAAACUCCGAAUACCUGGAAGCGUGAGCACGGGAGACAGAGCACCGGGUGCUAACGUCCGGACUCAAAAGGGAAACAACCCAGACCGCCGGCUAAGGUCCCCAAUAACAGCUAAGUGGAAAACGAAGUGGAAAGGCCGUGACAACCAGGAAGUUGGCUUAGAAGCAGCCAUCCUUCAAAGAAAGCGUAAUAGCUCACUGGUCGAGUCCUUCUGCGCGGAAGAUGUAACGGGGCUAAGCUGUUAACCGAAGCCGCGGAUGCACUGAUUAUUCAGUGCGUGGUAGGGGAGCGUUCUGUAAGUCUGCGAAGGCGGUUCGAGAGGACUGCUGGAGAUAUCAGAAGUGCGAAUGCUGACAUGAGUAACGUUAAAGCAGGUGAAAAGCCUGCUCGCCGUAAGCCCAAGGAUUCCUGCUCUACGUUCAUCGGAGCAGGGUGAGUCGGCUCCUAAGGUCAGGCCGAAAGGCGUAGCCGAUGGGAAUCAGGUUAAUAUUCCUGAACCUGCGUCAGAUGCGAUGGGGGGACGGAGCAUGAAAGAUCAUCCGGGUGUUGGAUGUCCCGGUUGACGAGCGUAGGAGGUCUGCAGGCAAAUCCGCAGACGCAUCUCCAAGGCAAAGACACGUGCCGCCACGGCGGCGAAGUGAUCGGAAGUGCUUCCAAGAAAAGCCUCUAAGCACCAGUCUGAUGCGGACCGUACCGCAAACCGACACUGGUGGGCGAGCUGAAUAUGCUCAGGCGCUUGAGAGAACUCGGGAGAAGGAACUCGGCAAAUUGACACCGUAACUUCGGAAGAAGGUGUGCCGUAGUACCGUGAGAGGAGAGACACCUUGAGCGGGAAACGGUCUCAGAGAAUAGGUGGCUGCGACUGUUUAUUAAAAACACAGCACUCUGCAAAGUCGAAAGACGACGUAUAGGGUGUGAUGCCUGCCCGGUGCUGGAAGAUUAAUUGAUGGGGUGAGAGCCCUUGAUCGAAGUCCCAGUAAACGGCGGCCGUAACUAUAACGGUCCUAAGGUAGCGAAAUUCCUUGUC
rnacentral:rRNA from 1 species